UUAGCGUCGUUGCGGAAGCUUCCAAAACACUUGUGAUGGCGUUUGUUGUUUAAAAUCAUAAACAAAAAUGCCGCAUUUAAUAAUUGGUGAAAUUAAUUAUCUGUGAUAACCGGUGUGUUUUAAAAGCGUUAUAUAAAUAAUUACAUUUUGUAAAACUUAAAAUGGAAAGUGAAAAACUAAAUGAAGGCGAGUUAACCUCAACAAUGGGAAACCUGCUGUCAGUGAAUAAAGAUGAAAAAACCGAGACUAGUGAUUCCACGCCGACGUCUUCCACGGAUGCAUUUACAACAACGUCGACCUCACAAAUUGUUGCUGACGAUCCCAUUAGCAGCACAUCGUCAGAUGCACUGGAUUCAGGAAAAAAUACAGAGACAAUUAGUGAUGUUUCACAGAGCUCCACGAGCAAUGUAAAUCCAGUUAUUAGUUCAGUGAAAGGCAUAUCAGAGGGUGAUAAUCCAUCUCCAAUUGUGUCUGAUAAAGACCUGCUUGACAUGAAUAUCACAGAUACAUCAACGGAAAAGAUUACAGAAAAUGUUGAUGAUAUUGUGCAAGAUUUAGAAAACUUACUAGGCGAACCUACGACGUCGUUUGAUUUUACAAUUAGGAGUAAGGAUGUGAAGGCUAAUACCUCCAAUGUGGGGCAGAGUAAAGACAUUGCAAUGGAGCUUGAUGAAUUCUCGGCUGAACUACAAAUGUUGCAUGACAAAGCAGUUGAACCCACUAAGGUGGAUUCAAAAGAAGCAUCUGAAUCGGUUACGCAGUCCGAGGUUGAUAAUAAAGACAGUGUUGAUUCUGCAACGAAUGACAGCGCCGAAUUUAAUGCAGAAAAUAAUUCUGAAUCUGAAUUUACUGAUACGACACAUAUAUCGUCCACACAUCCAAAACCUAACGCUACAGAAGAUUCAUCAAUUCUUGAAAGUAAACCAGGAGAAGAAAAACAAGAAAAUUUAGACCUCGAGGAUAAAGUUUCUCAGGUUAACAAUGCAUCGAAAAAUGUGGAAGAUAAUGAAGAUAGGGAGAAUAUUUCUUCAAAAUCUGAUGAAGAAGUUACAGAAAAAUCGAACGUGAAUCAGGUGGACGAUCAACAAGGUAUAUCUGUUUUGGCAGACCAUAAAACAGUAGAUUCUGAAGAUAGUGUAAAACACAUAGAUGGAGGUCAAGGUAUAUCUGUUUUGGAAGACCAUAAAACAGUAGAUUCUGAAGAUAGUGUAAAACACAUAGAUGAAGGUCAUAUUAACGUCAGUAUAUUAGAACAACGAUUGGAUACUAAUGAAACAACGGACCUGAAAGAAGUCCAACCUAUUGAGGAGAUAAAAGAGACUGAGUCAGAAUCUAAAGACUGCAUAAACGUGACAAUUGACAAAGAUGAUCAAAUUACUGAUGUAUCUGAAGAAACAAUGGGAAACGUUGAGAAAAAAGAAAGCUGCAAUGAACAAGAGAACACGGAAGUUAAAAUUCAAGAUUCGGAAGUUAUUACUGAAGAUAUUCAAACUGUUCAAGAUUCGGAAGUUAUUACUGAAGAUAUUAAAACUGUUCAAGAUUCAGAAGUUAAUAAUUUAGCAGAAAAUAAAGUAGACGUCAGCGAGUUUGUUGUUCUUCCUCCAGGUAAAUCUCACGAACCUAAAAAUGAAAGGGAAGACUGUGAUUAUCAGAUGACUGAAACACCUGACAAUGAAAACAAGAUCGGAGACAAAACAUUACCAUUAUCUACAGGGGAUGUUACAAAUCUUGAAGUGUUAGAAGGUUUGGGUGAUGAGCCUUCAGUUGAUGAACCUGUUUCUGAUUUUGUGCCCGAAACUGUAACAUCUAACCAGAAUAUGUCUCAACCUGUAUACUUGGAUUCAGAAGUUGUAACAUCCGAGAAUACAUUAAAUAUGGUUGAAUCGGAGGCAAUGACAUUAGACAACAUGGUUGAUGAAACUAAAUCAAUGAAAAUUUUAUCCGAAACUACACUACCGGAUAAUCCUUCCGAAAUUACACCAACGGAAAUUUUACCUGAAACUACACCGUCGGAAAUUUUGUCCGAGACUACACCACUGGAAAAAACAAAUGAUACACCAAGUGAUUCUAUUACUGAGCCAAUGGAAAUUCCUUCUAAUGCAUUAACUGAAGAAAUUGAUAUUUUAGUUCAAAAUACAGUCGCUGAUGAACCACCAAGUAAGGAAGAAUCUCAGGUUCCAUCUUCAUCUGUUGAAGAAGGGGCUGUUUCACAUCUCGAUGUAUUAAAAGUUAUAUCUACUUUACAUGAUAAUAAAUCGAAUGUUUUACCCGAAGAAAAUAUAGAAAGCAGCGGUGCAUUACUUGCUUCUAGUACAAUUGAACAAUCGUCAGAAUCGAAUAUGGAAACAGUUUUACCAACAGUAGAUGAGAUUUUUACGGAAUCAAGCCAGCCACAGCCUGAAAUACAGGAUGAUAAUUUGGAGACGUUAUUAGCUGUGGCAAGUUUGCAAAAUGUUGAUUAUAAUAUGCCUCCUGAAGAUUAUAAACCCAAAUUUGUUCCGGAAGUGACACCAGAAUUUACUCCGUUUGCUACGAAAGAACAAGACGAGCGAAUUGAAUCUUUAUUUAUUGAAAAAGGUUUGUCUGAGCAGCAAAACACGGAAACUGCACGUCAAGAAGACAAACUAAAGGAGCCUCUAAUUAUUAAUGUUGAUGAAACUGAUAAACAUCGAGUAUACAGUCCUAAAAUUACAAUCAAAGCUAUUAAAUCACCCGAAGAGACGGAAGAAGCGAGUGUUUCCGCCGGUGAACUUGUUGAAGGAAGUAAAGGAUCAUUAAAAAUGACCAUUACGAAACAGUCUGAUAAUACACAUUCGAUUCUUAAAAUAUAUAAUCCAGAUGACGAAUCACAGAAUCAUGAAGAGCCAACUGUACCGAAGCUUAUAAUAAAACCAAUAGUUCAACCCAACGAACAACCUCAGAGUCCAAAAACUUCUAAAACUUCUAAACAAGUAUUUAGUCCAAGUAGUAACCAAAGAUCGGCUAGUCCAAGGAUUACUAUUAAGCCGAUUCCUAAACCUGAGACUCCAGAACCUUUGGCACCAUUAAAAAUUACCAUAAAACCGGUUUUGAAACCUGACGACAUUCACAGACAGAAACACAGUCCAAAAUUAACUAUUAAACCGAUCCCUAAACCGGAUGAAGAGUGUAUUUCUGAACCAAGAGUUCACAGCCCGAGAGUGACUAUUAAACCUAUUGUCAAACCACCUGAAGAACUAGAACAACUUUCCAGUCCCAGAAUUACCAUUAAGCCUAUUACCGAACCAAUUCCGAGAGUGACGAUAAAACCUGUAUUAAAACCGCAAGAGAAGGAAGAACAAGUUGAAAAAUCGAGCCCAAAAAUAACUAUCAAACCAAUUGUGAAACCACAAGAAGUGGAAGCGUCUGAUGAUUAUGAAGAGUCGGUUAAGGAAAGAAUAGUUUUAAAGAUUAACAAGGGUACGUUACCUGGUAGUAGUAAGGAUUCAAAGAGAAGAGAUGCUUCUCAGGAGGAAGAAAAAUUAGAAAAGUUGACUAAAAUUAAAUUGAAGUUUUCAAAAGAAGGUGGUCAUCCACAUAUCGUCCAAGAUGAAUCUCACAACAAACGUGUGGCAGAACAGGUCGAUUAUGAGAAGUCUAAAAGACAAAAGAUUGACACUGAAAUGCUGCCAGGUCUUACGAUAACACCUAUAACAUCUCAACACUCGAAAUUGAAAGAGAUGCUUAGCCGAGGUGGAUUAUCAAGUGAUAAAGUGGUGACUAUUGACGAUGACGAUGAUGAAGUUUCGAUUGUUGAAGAGACAAGUAAACCAUCGCCGAUUGUGAUCAGUGAAGAAUCGAAUCAAGAUAGUAAUAAUACUAUGAUGGAAGUGCGCGAUCCAAUGGCUGAUAUUCCAGUGUUCGAGAUUACGCCAGAUAGUGUUAAGACGCUGAAUCCACAGCCACUUUUGGAAGGGACUGCCACAUUGCCGACUCCGCGGAAAAGGGGAAGACCGCGAAAGGUGCCGUUGCAAGUGCGAGAAGACUUUAAAGAUCCGAAAGAAGACGAACCCAAACCCGUGAUUGAGUCCACUCGUCCAAAACGUAGUUGCAGGGGACAAUCAGUAAGAACGACACUUGGUAUUAAGCCUCGAAAACCAAGGGGUCCUGGUCGGGGCAGGGGAAGCAAACGAGGAAUGGGGACGAGAAGUACCCCAACACCUCCUGAAAUGUCGCCAAAAGCCGCCAAGGAACCGAAAUUGGCCUGUGCUAAAGAAGAUUUGUUACUGUUGAGUGAUAAAACUGAAGUCAAACCGAUCGAAAUCGAUGAUGGAUUUUACAAGUCGCCAUCACAGUCACUGUUAGCACCACCACAAGAUAUUUCGACCACCGAUAGGGCUGAUAUUGUGAUGUAUGAAGAAGAGACGCGCAUGAGUGCGGAAACUAGUAGUAGAGCUCAAACGCCGGCCAAACAAGUCGUUACGUCAAUCCCAAGCGUGGACCUUAUCGAGGAAUCCCAGAGCUCAGUCCAAAGCACAGCCACCACUGAAAGUGUCAAAGUACGUAGAGGUCCUCGUUUAGAGGUUCACCAAGAACCGGAAGGUGCUGUUAUUUCGGCCGAUCAACUAGCCGAGUAUUAUUGGAGCGGUGGUGGCCCCUACAUGCUACAAGAACAAGUCGCCCAAUUUCUGGGCAUCAAAUCAUUUAAAAGAAAAUAUCCCAAUAUUCAAAGAAGAGUAGUGGACAUGCAAGAAAGAGAUUUUAUUCGCGAAAGUGGACUAGCAAGCGAAGCUAUGUGCGAUCUUGGACUUACAGCUGUCAAUACAGCCGAUAUUUUGGAUAUUAUGUAUUCGGACUUUCAAGAUAAAUACGAGGAAUAUUGCAAACAUCAACGCGAUAGACAAGCCAAGGAUUUGACCAAUAAGCAAAGAGCAUUGAGUUUGGCUGCAAGUCAGGAGAAGACUAAGAUAGAUAUCACGCAGCAGGCCGUGCAAUCAGCGGCUAAUUGGAAUUCUACUUUUAACAAGACACGGAGGGAACAGAGGAAGGCUUGUAUGGAUCUACAAACACUGACUGUUCAUUUUCCUAAAGGAAAAAUGAAGCAAAUCAACAAACCCAAGAUUGGGCAUUAUCCAGUAGCUUUAGUUCCAGGACAAUUUACGGAUUAUUAUAGGGAAUUCACACCAACCGAAAUAAAUAAUUUCCCAUUGAAUACAGUCUGCUAUAAUGCUGUAAUAAGAGGAAGACAUCAUGAAAUGGAAUGCGAUAGUCAGACUGACGGAUCAGGAUCUGAAUCUGACACGAGCACAUCUGAUUCAGAUAGUUCUUAUAGUGGUUCGUCUGAUGCAGAAGAUUGCACACUUUGUAAACCAACACCGAAAAGACUUGCUGCUGCAAUGUAGUGACAUUUAGUUGUGUUUUAAACACUUUAUUGGAUUAGCUUAUAUGAUUUUUUUUCAGUGAUUCUUAAGAUUUGUCUACCAAUGCUACUCUGAAUUGACGGUGAAUUAGUUUUCAAAAAUAUACAUUUAAAAA